AAAAAUGUGUUUCUCUUAAUCAGGUCUACUUUCCCCACUCCCAAACAUUGAUACAUCUUCUCCAAGCAUUGGAUGUGGCCAAUCGGCUAGAAAUGAUUCCUAAAAUUUGGAAAGUAAAGAAUAUGGUCAUACUUUCCGCAGCGACCUGAGAGAAGAGAUCCUGAAGCUCAUGGCAAGGGACAAGCACCCACCAGAGCUUCAGGUGGCAUUUGCUGACUGUGCUGCUGAUAUCAAAUCUGCGUAUGAAAGCCAACACAUCAGACAGACUGCUCAGGAUUGGCCAGCCACCUCUCUCAACUGUAUAGCUAUCCUCUUUUUAAGGGCUGGGAGAACUCAGGAAGCCUGGUGAGUACAGUACCACAAGUAUACACUUCAGAAGCUUUUGUAUUUGGAUCUAAAACAUUGACCCACGCUGGUAGAGGUUCUUUCAUUUGGCCAUAUAACAAGUAUUUGAUUUGGAAACUUGCAAAUACCAACUAAAAAGCAAACUUUUGGAAGAAGACAAUAUGCAUGAUGUGGUUGAGAUAAGGCAUAGUUCUCUCAAAACCAUAGGGUGA
rnacentral:sRNA from 1 species